rnacentral:lncRNA from 1 species
CGGAGUCCUUAGCUGUUAAAUGAGUUAGUCCUUUUAGUGAGGAGGCUUGAGAUGUUACCCCUUGGAGAUUUAAGUCAGAACAUGCUCACACAUACUAUACACGUAACUAGUGAAUCUUUAUGUUCAUUAUCUUCUUAUUCUUGUUCCCGUUAUUUUCUUUAAUUGUUUUCCUAGUAUGCGCAUAAAAAAAAAGUUGGGGGCCUAUAAUGCAUACCACAUCAUCUCAAGCUUUGGUCUCCACCUGUGGGAGCACAAUGAAGCAAGCAUCCCAUCUUUCGGGAGUAGUCCCCUUCCUUCGGCUAGAUAAGGUAGAACCCCUGUCCACUGACGAUGAAAGAGACCCAUACUUUGAGUCACUGCUGAGUGAAGGUGAACGAGCAGAUGGGGAAGAAAGCUUUGAGCUAGUCUUCCUUCGUGUACUGCUGCUAUCCUGCUACUACUGUCAAUGGAGGAAGAUGAAGUCCCUUCAAUGUGGAACCCGACAAGAACUCUCUAAGUGAUGGUUUCCUAACCUGUCUGCUUACAUCAGAUCCGGAUAAUGUACAUGAAGCUCGUGUAACAGGUCAAACCAGAGACUGUUUCUUCGUUGAUGAAUCACUCGCUUUAAUUGAUGUCUAGUGCCAAAUGCAGGCAUAGAAGCUUGUCCAGGUUCAACAGAAGAAUGUCUCACCGAGUCAGAAACUGAAGGACUAGUAUUCUUACCCACAAUUGAAGCAGCAUUAUCGCAGCUCUUAGGAUCCGAACCUGACUGCUCUCCAACCAACCCUCCUGUGCUAUUUCUUCUCUUUACUGGAUCUGCGUCUGAGCUUAGGGAAUACCUUCAUACUUGGUUUCCCGAAUUUGAAACUCGUAUUCAAACCAUUAGUUCCUUCUACUCUUUUUCGACUCGAAACAGAUGAUCCUGGAGUUUUAACCACUGAAGUAACACAGGUUUCACUACAGUUCUCUUAAUACUUUCAGGUGAGCUAACUGAUACUGAAGGCUUCUUCAACGAAACUGAAACUUCAGGCUUUUCCACAGAAACUUCACUACUAUCCACGACAAGUCCUCCAUUACAAUAAAACAAAGGCAGAA